rnacentral:lncRNA from 1 species
GUAAAAAUGCAUUUUUAUUUGAAAAGUGCAGAAACAAUCACAGGAUACAUUCCUUGACCAUGUUAUUCAAACCCAGACACCAGUAAUUCAUUGGACAAUUUUUUUUUAAGCCACAGAAACUUUGGUACAAUAAAAUGAUGUGUCAGGCACCACAAUCUACUGAGGGGUAUAUAUAGAGAAAAAUCAUGUUAAAGGGUUUAAAUUACAUUCAUAAUACCAAUACAAAAUAUCUAUGGACUUGUGAAGACCAACGUAAAACAAGAAAACAAGGCACAAGAUAACUCAACAUCAGGAAAACAUUAUCUAAGAGUAAAUUCGGGAAACAGCAAAGCACUUGACUGUAACAGUCAAAACAAUGGUUAUCUUUAAAACAUAAUAGAGUAGGACAAAUUAGUUUUCAUAAAUAAUUUCAGAUACAGUCUUACAUGGAUAAGUUCACAAAAAGCCCUAUUAUACAAUGAGGAGUUUUACCACAUUGGCAUUUAUUUUUAAGGUAAUGUAAUUGGCAGUCUUGAAGGAAGUACAUUAGGAAAUAAAAGAUAAAGGAGAGUUCAUAUCUUAUUUUGCAGUACUAGAAAAGAAGUAUACACAGAAAAAAUGAGGAGGCCCAAGGUUGGUAGCCUCUCUAAAAGUACUAAGGUUUCCAUUCAAGUGAUUUCAUUUUCCUUAUCUUGCCAUUUUUCACACAUUAAUGGUUGAACUCAUGACUAUUGUCCUUCACCACCUCAGGGUCUAGAAGAAUUGGGUUCAUGUCCCAUUUUUGACACAUACUGGCUAUGUGAUCCAGUUAACCCUGGCUAUCUUAAAGUUCAAGUGCCCUGGCAACUCUAAAUUGCAAAAGAAUUGAAAAUCUGCAUUGGUGGGGGGGAAUUUCCACCCUCAGCAUUCUCUACACCUGUGAAGCCUCAGGUAUAUGUACAUGAUAUCCAUAGUAUAACUGAAAAGAAAGCUUAAACACAUUGUUUUGCCAUCAGGAUAAAUAGCUUUUUGCCUCAGCUAACAGCAAUUAAUAAGGAAAACAGCCACUCUGUACAAUAAAAUAAUCAUUAAGAACAGAAACCUCAGCUCAUACGCAAUCUAUUCCUGGGAUAUUAGAAUACAUGAGGGUGAUGGGUCAUUGCCAAUAUCCUUCAGCUGAAUAAAGGAAAGCAGAGAUUAAACCUUAGAAGUCAUCUAAUCAUUUUGCAAUUAAGAAAACAGAUGUGAUUUGCCAAAGGACCAGCCAGUUAGUGGCAGGGAAGAUCUCCAACUUGUCCAAUGCCCUCUCUACUAAACUAUUCUGCCUGAGAAACAAAAUUUUAAAAAUUCUACCAAAAUGUGCCUUAUUUGGAAAUUUCUUCUAAAAAUGUCAUUGUUAGAAUCAUUCUGUUAUUCAGUCUCACAGCUACAAAAUUGAGUUUUAUUAUGACCUUUUCUUCAAAUGGGAAGGUGGAAAAAAUACACCUAGCUUUGAACAUGAACAUCACUGAAAAAGGUCUUUGGAAUGUUAUUCCUCGAGUCCCUCAAGAAUAUUAUUGAAAAGAAAAGCAUCAUUCACAUAGAAUAAAAGAAAUAUUCUCCAAAUAUAGCAAACUGUAAAUCCAGUAGUGAAAUAACUCUUUUGUUUGUACAUCUCACCCGACCCCCUCCUCCCAUUAAAUGGUUAUCUGCCAUUCUUCAUUUUUCUGGAGGAAAAGUGAUUAAUAAAUAUUUUCCAUACAUCUGUUAUAAAAUAGCUCUCUGGCAAUGUCGUUUAUUCUACAUAGAAGUAAUUCCUUAAACAUAGCUCUUUUUUAGCCCUAAACACAUAUACUUAAACAAAAUGUUUCUUUGACCAUCUCUGGCCACACAAAUGUAAUCCCAAAUUUUGUUGUCUCCACAAAGAGUUCUCAGGCAGUAAGAUAAAUAAAAAUCUGCAAAACUAACAUCUCUUUCUAGGCAGUCAUACUAAAUCAUUGUUUUCAUGGUUUCAUCAAACAUCUGGAUACCUUUCACCUAGCAAACAAUACCCUCCAUCCAGUGCCCUGUUCAAGCCAUUCUUUAGCAUUCUUCCCUUUUCCCUGCCUCACGUAUGCUCACAUCAUCUUUUAUAAAAUCUAAGAAAAAAAUAAAAUCUGUAAUGUAUUCCUAAGUGAUCUCUUUAGAUAUUAUAGAUUCUCUUGAAAACGGAAAAGCUUUACUAAAAGACACAACCUGGAUUAAAAAAAUUUGAUUCCAUAAACAAUCCAAAGUUAGAAAUGAAAGAUAAUUUUCUUGAUGGAUAAAUCCAACAGUCAGAUUUUCCUGGAUCAGAGGACAAAUUUUUUCCCUAGAUCAAGAAUCUGAAAUGCCUACUGCAUUUAUAUCUUGAGUUUUAUAUCACAUCCCUCUCUCCAAAAAGCUUUAUGGAUAUGUUAUGUCUUAGAUUUCAUACCUUCUAUGUGAGAUACACGCAUAAGUAAGCAGAGAUAUAGAAAAGUUAACUGGCUUUUGUGAUCAUUGAGCAUGCUGGAGAGCAGAACUCAUGCUUCUUAAUCAUUGAUUAAAUGAAGCACUCAUUACAUAAUUUUGUUCCAUGAAUUUCUUGAAGUUUCCUAGUGGAACUUAGCUUUUUUUUUCUUAUUUCAAGGCCUGAUCAAGCAAAUUAGGUCCUUUCAAAUUCAAGGGAAUUUCAAAUACAAAGAUACAUUUGGCUAACUUCAAAUCCACUUUAUUCAGAAUUUUAAAAUACUCUUUGAUUCACAGAAAAAUAUUAA